rnacentral:rRNA from 1 species
UACGAAGGGGGCUAGCGAUGUUCGGAUUUACUGGGCGUAAAGGGCGCGAAGGCGGAUUUUUAAGUCAGGGGUGAAAUCCCGGAGCUCAACUCCGGAACUGCAUUCGAUACUGAAAGUCUGGAGCACGGUAGAGGUGAGUGGAAUUCCGAGUGUAGAGGUGAAAUUCGUAGAUAUUCGGAGGAACACCAGUGGCGAAGGCGGCUCUCUGGACCGUUGCUGACGCUGAGGCGCGAAAGCGUGGGGAGCAAACAGG